rnacentral:rRNA from 1 species
UACGUAGGGUGCAAGCGUUGUCCGGAAUUAUUGGGCGUAAAGAGCUCGUAGGCGGUUUGUCGCGUCUGCUGUGAAAACUCGGGGCUUAACCCCGGGCCUGCAGUGGGUACGGGGCAGACUAGAGUGCGGUAGGGGAGUGGGGAAUUCCUGGUGUAGCGGUGAAAUGCGCAGAUAUCAGGAGGAACACCGGUGGCGAAGGCGGCAUCCUGGACCAACACUGACGCUGAUGAGCGAAAGCCAGGGGAGCAAACGGG